GCCCUGCCCUCAUGCCUCCUCCCCUCAGGGGCUGAGGUGGUGCCUCAGGGGAAACAGGCUGAAGAAAUGGCAGAAACGCUGCUUUUUGUUGUGUUUUGGCAGCAGAAAUGUGGGUUUUGUCUCUGAUUGACAGACCUUCGGGCACUACCUUAGGUUGCUGGGACCCCUGAGGCCUCUGGCUCAGCUGAAGGGAAGUGUUUGAGUGGGUUUCCAGUUUCAGAGCACUAGGCACCUCAGUGUGGAGCUGCGUGGGUUUGGCUCUUGGUUUCCUGUAAUCAUGUAGGAAACCCUCCCUAGUGUUAAUUCAUGGGAGUGAGAAUGUGUUUUGUCUAAGGAAAGAGGGAGAAAAGUUGCUUUGACAUUUGCAACUGGUAACAUAUUUUGCAAGACAAGCUGUUUUGACUAUGGGGUGUUCGAUAGGUUGAGCAAGUGUAGCAGAGUCACCCUUGGAAAAGGCAACCUGAAAGGACUGUCCCUGGGAGACAAAUCCUGAAUCUGGCAGCUAUCAAGCUACAGCUGUUGAAUAGGCUUCUAGGAAAAAUAACAGGACAGCGAGGCAGGGCUGACAGCUGAACUGGUACAGGUGGUGGAACGUGAUGCUGCCUCACCAGGAACUGCUAUGACCAUCAACCUCUCUUCAGCUGUAAAAGAAAAGUAAAGCAUGCCACAGAGCAGGCUUUGGAGUGAUAGGAACAAAGCUGAUUCGGGAGCCAAGCGCACUGGGAUACUUGCUGGGCCCUACUGAUAGGCGUGAUAUUUCAGCCUCCGCGCUAACUCCCGUGCUCCAAAUAUGCAGGGCCAGUUGUGCACGGCCCAGCGCCCGCGGGAGGCAGCACUCCUCCUGCCGACAUGCAGUGAAGCCCUCAGGAAUGGCCAAACCUCUGCAGAUGGCACAGGCUGCAGUGGCUUUGCCCAUAUGCAUCGUGGUGCCCGUGAUGCUGUAUGCUAGCUGUGCAGGAUGAGCUUUUGCAAAGUGAGUGGUGGGCAGCAGCAUCCUCAAGGGGGACACUCACCCUUUCACCGUGCUCACCCCUUUCAACGCAGAGAAGUGAUUCUUCUUUGCUACACUGGUACCAGCAUAUGAGCAAAACACAUAAAUGUUUUGAGCCUGAAGAAUGUGAGCCACCUUUACUGGCUAGUGUCCUUAAAGGGAAAUUGCAACGGUGUGUUUACUGCUUUUUAAUACUGAUCUAAAGAAUAAGUAUUUAUGCUUUAUUCCCUGCUGUUGUAAUUUGCAACAGGCCUCUUAAAUUUGAAGCAGGUACCAAUGCUCAAAUGCAACUUCCAGUUAUUUUUACUUUUAUGUGUACAAAGCAGAUAGCAAUGAUUUAUUGAGGAGGAAGAGGGAGAAGGCUAUAAAGCAUCACAAGGCAGUUUCAGAUGCCUGUGGUAAAAUGGCGGGGGCUCAACUCCUCCCCCUGUGUAUGCAGAGUUUUGUGGCUGGAGGACUCGACUCUCCCAUCUUCCAACUGAGACCUGUCACAAUGGAUUGCUUUUUUCUGAACCAGCAUAAACUGGGAGCAACUACACUGAUGUCAAGCCAGCUUGAGGCAUAGGGGACAAAGCCAAGGGAAGCAAAAAGGUAUAUUUCCAUGGGCUGUAACAAGUCCCAAGUGAGAGGAACUGGACCUUUUCUCUUAAAACAAGUUUGGUUUUUUUUGGCAAUCUGCCUUGGAUGCACCCCUUGGAUGCACCAGCAUGAUGAGGGUGCAGUGAUCUGAAGGAAGACCACAACCUUGGAUAUGCCUAUCUGACUUGUGAUCCAGCCUUGCCAGAAACCCUUUGGGGUGCAAGAGCAGCUUUCCGUGCUUCCCUUGCAAUGCUGCUGAAAGUAUGCAAACUUGCACUGGCAUCUGAAAAACACAAGGAGUGGAAAGAGACUACAGAUGGCUGAGGAUUUGCUGAUAGAGCUGCUUAUAAGUCAGGCUAACCCUCCUGGCAGGAGGAUUUACAUCAGGUGCUAGGAAAGCAACAUCGGUGCGAGGGAAAACCCCUGAUGCAAGGAGCUGUGCUGCUCUCCAGCACUGCCCCUCUGCU